rnacentral:rRNA from 1 species
UACAGGGGGGGCAAGCGUUGUUCGGAAUUACUGGGCGUAAAGCGUGCGCAGGCGGUUCGUUGUGUCGGCGGUGAAAGCCCCGGGCUUAACCUGGGAACGGCCGUUGAAACUGGCGAACUGGAGUGUGGCAGAGGGGGGUGGAAUUCCGCGUGUAGCAGUGAAAUGCGUAGAGAUGCGGAGGAACACCGAUGGCGAAGGCAGCCCCCUGGGCUAACACUGACGCUCAGGCACGAAAGCGUGGGGAGCAAACAGG